GUCCCUGUAGCGCAAUUGAUAGCGCGUUGGACUUCUAAUUCAUAGACUGUGGGUUCGAAUCCCACCUGGGAAG